UGCUAACACAUGCAACUCGAGCGAGAAAAGGGUAGCAAUACCCUGAGUACAGCGGCGCACGGGUGAGUAACACGUGGGUAAUCUGCCCUGGAGUGGGGAAUAACACCGGGAAACCGGUGCUAAUACCGCAUACGAUCACGAUGUCUGCGGAUGUCGUGAUGAAAGGAGCAAUUCGCUCCAGGAGGAGCCCGCGGCUGAUUAGCUAGUUGGUGAGGUAACGGCUCACCAAGGCUACCAUCAGUAUCCGGUCUGAGAGGACGGUCGGACACACUGGAACUGACACACGGUCCAGACUCCUACGGGAGGCAGCAGUGGGGAAUUUUUGGCAAUGGGGGAAACCCCUGACCAAGCAACGCCGCGUGGGUGAUGAAGUCUCUUGGGACGUAAAACCCUU
rnacentral:rRNA from 1 species